AGCUGCUGCAAGUGGAAUUUUAUGCAUUUUUCUGGCUGUUACUGCUUGUCUGGGCUAUUUAGAUGUUGAGCUACACUUGUUUCCUUCGUGGCGGAUGUUUUAUUCAGAGCAACCGAGACACCUGCAAUGGCACGUUACGAACUGAGACACCCGUAGGUUGCUAACCUCCAUCUGUGGUGGUGUCUGCAGAGUUUGCAGCUGCUGUUUAUCUGCCUGCACACGGAUCACCUCGCGUUUCUCCGGGAUAGUCUUCAACCACACGCAGAGGGAGCUGUCCUGUUAUCCUUAUUAUUGUCCUCAUCCUAUUAAAACCUUUGAUGUCAACACACA